UACGUAGGGUGCAAGCGUUGUCCGGAAUUAUUGGGCGUAAAGAGCUCGUAGGCGGUUUGUCGCGUCUGCCGUGAAAGUCCGGGGCUCAACUCCGGAUCUGCGGUGGGUACGGGCAGACUAGAGUGAUGUAGGGGAGACUGGAAUUCCUGGUGUAGCGGUGAAAUGCGCAGAUAUCAGGAGGAACACCGAUGGCGAAGGCAGCUCACUGGGACGGUACUGACGCUGAGGCGCGAAAGCGUGGGGAGCAAACAGG
rnacentral:rRNA from 1 species